GAUGAACGCUAGCGAUAGGCUUAACACAUGCAAGUCGAGGGGCAGCACAAGGUAGCUUGCUAUCUGGGUGGCGACCGGCGCACGGGUGCGUAACGCGUAUGCAACUUGCCCUAUACAGGAGGAUAACCCGUCGAAAGACGGACUAAUACUGCGUAUGCUCACAACUUGGCAUCAAGUGGUGAGGAAAGAAAUUCGGUAUAGGAUAGGCAUGCGUCCCAUUAGCUUGUUGGUGAGGUAACGGCUCACCAAGGCAACGAUGGGUAGGGGAACUGAGAGGUUUAUCCCCCACACUGGUACUGAGACACGGACCAGACUCCUACGGGAGGCAGCAGUGAGGAAUAUUGAUCAAUGGGCGCGAGCCUGAACCAGCCAAGUCGCGUGAAGGAGGACUGUCUUAUGGAUUGUAAACUUCUUUUAUACGGAAAUAACAAGAGUCACGUGUGACUCCCUGCAUGUACCGUAUGAAUAAGCAUCGGCUAACUCCGUG
rnacentral:rRNA from 1 species